CAAAAACAUCUUUUCUCGUUAGUUUUUGAAGUAUGGCCUGCCCACUGACUUUGAGUUGAAUGGCCGCGGUAUUUUGACCGUGCAAAGGUAGCAUAAUCAUUAGUUCUUUAAUUGUGAUCUGGUAUGAAUGGCUUGACGAGACAUGAGCUGUCUUAUAGGUAUUGUUUGUUGAAUUUGGUUUUUAAGUUAAAAUUCUUAGAUGUUUUUAUGGGACGAGAAGACCCUAUAGAGUUUGACAUUUGAUCUUGCUUGAUAUUUUGUUGUUUGAUUUUGUUUUUGAGUUUAGUUGAGUGUUUUGUUGGGGUGAUGGGAGGAAUUUUUUUAACUCCUCUUUUUUGUUGUAUAUUUAUUUAUAUUUGUUUGAUCCAUUUAUUUUGAUUACAAGAUUAAAUUACCUU
rnacentral:rRNA from 1 species